rnacentral:rRNA from 1 species
AUAAUGGGUCAGCGACUUAUAUUCUGUAGCAAGGUUAACCGAAUAGGGGAGCCGAAGGGAAACCGAGUCUUAACUGGGCGUUAAGUUGCAGGGUAUAGACCCGAAACCCGGUGAUCUAGCCAUGGGCAGGUUGAAGGUUGGGUAACACUAACUGGAGGACCGAACCGACUAAUGUUGAAAAAUUAGCGGAUGACUUGUGGCUGGGGGUGAAAGGCCAAUCAAACCGGGAGAUAGCUGGUUCUCCCCGAAAGCUAUUUAGGUAGCGCCUCGUGAAUUCAUCUCCGGGGGUAGAGCACUGUUUCGGCAAGGGGGUCAUCCCGACUUACCAACCCGAUGCAAACUGCGAAUACCGGAGAAUGUUAUCACGGGAGACACACGGCGGGUGCUAACGUCCGUCGUGAAGAGGGAAACAACCCAGACCGCCAGCUAAGGUCCCAAAGUCAUGGUUAAGUGGGAAACGAUGUGGGAAGGCCCAGACAGCCAGGAUGUUGGCUUAGAAGCAGCCAUCAUUUAAAGAAAGCGUAAUAGCUCACUGGUCGAGUCGGCCUGCGCGGAAGAUGUAACGGGGCUAAACCAUGCACCGAAGCUGCGGCAGCGACGCUUAUGCGUUGUUGGGUAGGGGAGCGUUCUGUAAGCCUGUGAAGGUGUACUGUGAGGUAUGCUGGAGGUAUCAGAAGUGCGAAUGCUGACAUAAGUAACGAUAAAGCGGGUGAAAAGCCCGCUCGCCGGAAGACCAAGGGUUCCUGUCCAACGUUAAUCGGGGCAGGGUGAGUCGACCCCUAAGGCGAGGCCGAAAGGCGUAGUCGAUGGGAAACAGG